rnacentral:rRNA from 1 species
UAAGGAAUAUUGGACAAUGGACGCAAGUCUGAUCCAGCCAUGCCGCGUGAAGGAUGACUGCCCUCUGGGUUGUAAACUUCUUUUAUAGGGGAAGAAAGUUAUUUUUUAGGAUAUUUGACGGUACCCUAUGAAUAAGCACCGGCUAACUCCGUGCCAGCAGCCGCGGUAAUACGGAGGGUGCAAGCGUUAUCCGGAUUCACUGGGUUUAAAGGGUGCGUAGGCGGGUAUGUAAGUCAGUGGUGAAAUACCGGAGCUUAACUUCGGAACUGCCAUUGAUACUAUAUAUCUUGAAUAUUGUGGAGGUAAGCGGAAUAUGUCAUGUAGCGGUGAAAUGCUUAGAGAUGACAUAGAACACCGAUUGCGAAGGCAGCUUGCUACGCAAAUAUUGACGCUGAGGCACGAAAGCGUGGGGAUCAAACAGGAUUAGAUACCCUGGUAGUCCACGCCCUAAACGAUGAUUACUCGACAUUAGCGAUACACAGUUAGUGUCUGAGCGAAAGCAUUAAGUAAUCCACCUGGGAAGUACGACCGCAAGGUUGAAACUCAAAGAAUUGACGGGGUCAUAGCUGUUUCCU